GUGUCAGCAGCCGCGGUAAUACGUAGGGUGCAAGCGUUAAUCGGAAUUACUGGGCGUAAAGCGUGCGCAGGCGGUUUUGUAAGUCUGUCGUGAAAGCCCCGGGCUCAACCUGGGAAUUGCGAUGGAGACUGCAAGGCUUGAAUCUGGCAGAGGGGGGUAGAAUUCCACGUGUAGCAGUGAAAUGCGUAGAGAUGUGGAGGAACACCGAUGGCGAAGGCAGCCCCCUGGGUCAAGAUUGACGCUCAUGCACGAAAGCGUGGGGAGCAAACAGGAUUAGAUACCCUGGUAGUCCACGCCCUAAACGAUGUCUACUAGUUGUCGGGUUUUAAUUAACUUGGCAACGCAGCUAACGCGUGAAGUAGACCGCCUGGGGAGUACGGUCGCAAGAUUAAAACUUAAAGGAAUUGACGGGG
rnacentral:rRNA from 1 species